GGGUGGGGGAAAAGGAAUCAGAGAAGAGGGUCUCUUUGUCUGUCCAUGAUUUUUUAUCCCGUCGUCUCCGGGAUGGAAAUCAAAGACAGCAGUAUUUUUUUCUCUGCUUUGCGUGUUUUGACGAGAGAGAGAGAGAUAGAGAGAGAGAGAGAGGAGAGAGAGCGAGAGAGAGAGAGAGAAACACCUUGCUGUUCUGCUGUCAUUUUCCGAGAUAUACUCUCGAGGAACACCACACCCAAACCCCCUUUCCACCCUUUCUGGAUUUCAUUUUUUAAGUUUUCCUUUGCUUCUCAACUCACAUACGAGUCUACCUCUCUCCUCUCUCUCUCCUUCUCCUCCCCUCUCCCUCUCUCUCUCUGAAGCAUGUCUGUUGGUUGAAGAAGAUAUAGGAGUCUAGCUAGCUCUUCCUUUACUUCACUCUUUUGGUCUACAAACCAUAUGCAUAUGCAGUGAAGUCUCCUUUUUCCUGUCAUUCCCUUAAUUCUUCUAUUCACCCUAAAUCUCUGAAAACCCUUUCGCCCAAAGGUUUGCACUAACAAAAGAAAUUAAACAAAGCCCCUCAUUUCCCAAGAAAUCGAGAAAAAAUGCCCCUUGAGGGGGCUUUCGUUGAGGCAUCUUCAACCCCAACGCCAGUUCCAGAUCUUUCUCUUCACAUUAGUCCUCCCAACGGCUCAUCCACUGCCUCCUCAAUUCCCUACAGCAGCAACCAAGGGGAUCCCCCAGGCUGCUUCGAUCUUGCGUCCCACAAAUCGAACACCGAGAGUCCUUACCCUGAGCUCUCUCUAGCACAUCCCGCAAACAACAUCACUGGUGCCGAAGAAACCCGAGGCCGAUGCAGGAGAAUUACUUUCACCAGCGAUCACCAAACUAGUACACAUCACCACAACCACCAUCAUCAUCUCCGCCACGCUAAUAACCACGGGGUUUCGGCGCCCGAAGUAACCGACGGUCUGCGGCCAAUCAAAGGGAUUCCGGUGUAUCACAACCGUCCAUUCCCUUUCUUGCCUCUGGAUCAAUAUUCCUCAAGCAGGGAGAAGGAUCCCAAGAUGUGUUUCUACCAAAUGCCUUACCCUUCUAAUUCCUCUUUUUGUCCUUCGUCGGGCACACUUCAUCACCCAUCUUCUUCCCAUCACUACGGUCACGGCGGAGGUUUGGAUCCCAUUAGCCCAAUCUUAAACACGGGGCCGAACGCAUCGAAUUUGUCAUCCUAUAAUUAUAGGAAUAUCGCGACGAGGUUGAAUGGGGUUUCGCCCGAUGCUUUCAAAUCACAACAAGUACUACACCACCACCAUCAUCAUAAUCAUCAUCAGUUAGGAGCGGGGGCUUCCGAGGUCUCUUCGCCGCACGGGAUGAUGAGAUCGAGAUUCAUGCCAAAGCUCCCGGCGAAGAGGAGUAUGAGAGCUCCGAGAAUGCGGUGGACGAGUACACUUCAUGCCCGAUUCGUUCACGCUGUUGAGCUCCUUGGCGGCCAUGAAAGAGCGACUCCAAAGUCAGUUCUUGAGCUCAUGGAUGUCAAGGAUCUCACUCUAGCUCAUGUGAAGAGCCAUUUACAGAUGUAUAGAACUGUUAAAACCACUGACAAGCCUGCAGCUUCCUCAGAUGGAUCUGGAGAAGAAGAUAUGUCACCGAUAGGAAGCGCAACCGAGCACAGCAUUCGCCGAUUCGCCGAUCAAAGAGGGGCAUCAGAUGGGUCUAUGCAACAAGAAAUGGACUACAAUUCUACAACCACAACUUUGUGGAGUAAUUCUUCCAGCAGUACUAGAGAAGGGUGGCAGCAAACUAAUAACACCAGCGAUAUAGAUGGGCUGAGGCCAGCUUCCUUCCUCUCACACCACAGAUUACCACAUCAAACGGAGGAAUGCGAUUCCCGUCAGCUGAAGAGCUAUCUAGGAACUAAUAUGGAUUGCAAGAACCCGAGCUUGGAGUUCACAUUGGGCAGACCCGACUGGCAUGGUAAAGAGGACGACUAGCUAGCUAGCUAAUUUGCUAAAAAUUGAUCUCGAUAUGAAUCUAUGUGCAUGCCUCUGUGGUGGUUUGCAUCUUCACAACUGAGAUGAAGGAAGGCUGAGUUAUAUGUGGACUAAAGAAGUAAUGUUGGAGAAGAGCAGCCAGUUAUGAUUUGUACUAGUUUUAUGCAUACAUAUUAACUAAGCUCAUUUCACCUAUCAAAUUUGAGAAUGAAAAAAUUUUCAUGUCUCAUUUUGUACCUUUUUUUUUAUUUUUUUGGCCUAUAAUGAUUCAUUUUGUAUUGGGUUUUGAGAGCGGCCAAGAGUUGUGACUUUAAAGCUACAAUCGGAUGUGGUUGCGAUGAGAGGAAAACUUGAAAGCAAAGGAUGAGGAAAUGAAGGAAAGGAAUCAGACGUUCGCUAAUGUUGAAUUCUGGUGUCUUAAGUAAUAAUACAAUACACAAAAGAAUGCGCCCAACAGCAACCAGCCAAUCAAGGAUUCAGUAAAGCCAAGACGUAGCCCAAAAGUAGCCGGCAAGCCCACAGUAGAAACAAAUAUUGGUUUGGCCGAUUUCGAUCAGAUGAAGCCCAUUCACUUUCGCAAGGUCAAGUCAAGCUCUACGCCAGCAGAAACUUUCAAACCCCAAAAAAGACAGAACAGCUGCUCCAAUUUACAAGUACAGGUAGCCAACAAAACCAGGGAGGAUCCAGUGGCUAUAAAAGAAAGAGUGGGAGUACCAUUGCUCACUUGGGCUCGAUCGGGUUUGACUCCAAUUAAGGCGGAAAAUUUGAGCAACCUUUGUGAAUGCAGAUUAGCGGUUGAUUUCAGCAAAUCACAAAUAUGAUUUGAGGAUUGAGAAUAAUAAUGAAAACAAUGAGUUGAUUGAUAAAGCCUUAUUUUCAGUGAAAACUUGGAAUUGGACUCGGCUGACCAAAUGGAGGAUUUAGCUAAGCUGUUUUAUCAAAUAAUACAGAGCAGGAAGGGAGAGUCUUUAUCCACAAUUCAUCCAUGAAUUUAGAGAUCAUAUCUUGGAACGUUAGAGGUCUAAAUGGUGUUGAAAAAAAGAAUAUAGUUGUAUGCUGGAGAUAUGGAAUCCGGACAUUGUAUGCUUACAGGAAACAAAGGUAAAUAAGCUAAAUAAUUUCUAGACAAGGAGUGUUUGGAAAGAGAAAUUUUGUAGAAAUUCAGAAUGUAAAAUAACAUAGGAAGAGAAAUAUAUAUCUUGUAUUUCUCCAUAUGAAUAUUACAAUAUACUGUAAAGGUAUUUAUACACAUAUAUAGAUUUACAGACAAAUUGCUUAAAUCAAA